rnacentral:rRNA from 1 species
UACAGAGGGUGCAAGCGUUAUUCGGAUUUAUUGGGCGUAAAGAGCGCGUAGGUGGUUCGAUAAGUCUGGUGUGAAAGCCCUGGACUCAAUCCAGGAAGUGCAUUGGAUACUGUCGGACUAGAGUAUGGGAGAGGAGAGCGGAAUUCCAGGUGUAGAGGUGAAAUUCGUAGAUAUCUGGAGGAACAACAGUAGCGAAGGCGGCUCUCUGGACCAUUACUGACACUGAGGCGCGAAAGCGUGGGGAGCAAACAGG